rnacentral:tRNA from 1 species
GUAUUCGUGGUGUAGUGGUCAGUACACUCGGCGCGUAACCGAGAGGUCAGCGGUUCAAUUCCCGGCGAAGGCA